rnacentral:rRNA from 1 species
GAUGAACGCUAGCGGCAGGCUUAACACAUGCAAGUCGAGGGGCAGCAUACCCGGCAACGGGUGAUGGCGACCGGCGUAAGGGUGAGUAACGCGUGAGCAACAUACCCGUAUCAGUGGGAUAAUACAGGGAAACUUGUUCUAAUAUCACAUAAUAUUAUUCAGAGGCGUCUUUGGAUAAUUAAAGUUCAGGCGGAUACGGAAUGGCUCGCGUGACAUUAGCUAGAUGGUAGGGUAAAGGCCUACCAUGGCUAUGAUGUCUAGGGGUUCUGAGAGGGAGGUCCCCCACACUGGAACUGAGACACGGUCCAGACUCCUACGGGAGGCAGCAGUGAGGAAUAUUGGACAAUGGAUGAAAAUCUGAUCCAGCCAUGCCGCGUGCAAGGAAGGCGGCCCUAUGGGUUGUAAACUGCUUUUGUACGGGAGCAAUAAGGUCUACGAGUAGAUUGAUGAGAGUACUGUACGAAUAAGCAUCGGCUAACU